UACGUAGGGGGCAAGCGUUGUCCGGAUUUAUUGGGCGUAAAGAGCGUGUAGGCGGCCAGGUAGGUCGGUUGUGAAAACUGGGAGGCUCAACCGUUCAGAGGUCGACCGAAACCAUCUGGCUAGAGUCCGGGAGAGGAGAGUGGGAAUUCCUGGUGUAGCGGUGAAAUGCGCAGAUAUCAGGAAGAACACCCGUGGCGAAAGCGGCUCUCUGGAACGGUACUGACGCUGAGACGGCGAAAGCGUGGGGGAGCGAAACAGG
rnacentral:rRNA from 1 species